rnacentral:misc_RNA from 1 species
AAUGUCAAUUAUGAAUUAACAAGUCAUAAGUCAAUGCAAUAAUAACUAAAGGUAUGCUGCCAUCAUCCAUGCUGAAAGUAUGAGGUAUACCAUAAACAAUCUGUCAAGCACACAUUGAUCUAUGAGUGUUUUGUCUCUUUCAGGAUGUCCUAAAAAUUUAUGUUAUCUGUGGCAGGUAUAAAAUAGAACACUUUAGUUCCUUCAACAAGUAUCCUUAUACUGAUAUUUAAUUAAAUGUGAAAUAGUAGUUACUUUAAAACCAAGAGUAAUUCUAGUGAACUGUACUGGUUUCCUUGAAUUAUAUAUAUUUUAUUUGACUGCUUGAAAUAUAAAAAUGGUGCACCACCUAACCACAUGGGUAAUGCAGCCCCAAGGAA